CGCCAUCUUGAGAGGGGAGGAGCCGUAGUGACUUGAGUGACGUCUGCCCAGAGAGCCAGUCCCAGAGUUGCGGCUGUUUGGCUUGCUGCGUAAGCGCCCCGGUCUUCCGGGCGUACUGGAGUCCCGUCUUUGCCCAGCAGUCCCUGCAAAUCUUGUCUUGCUUGAAACAAUAGAUUAAAACCAGACUGGCAGUUGGGGAACGCUUUCUAUUGCAACCAUGUGUGUCAGAAGAAAGGAUUAGGUUUCCUUGUCCAAGAACAUCAAGGGGAACCUCCACCUCUGCAGACACACCUUUAUUCCUCGAGUACAGCUCUUCAAAGAAGACAGAGAAUUGCUCCUGUAAGUAUGGAUCCAGAAUGGGGAAAACAAUUUUCUAGAAAUGUAGGAGACUACUUUCAGUAUUUUCUAUUCCCAUUGUUCAGUCUUAAGAUACAUGUUCCAUGGAAGAAAUGGAGCUUAGAAAUCAGCAAAUUAAAGUUUUGGAAGAGCAUUUUACUUUGUUCUCUCUCUUUGCAUGCCGUAUCUGUCCCAGAAGGUACGGCCCUGAAGACAAAACCUAUAUGUUACCAGAACACUCAUUCUGUAUUAAAAUCACCCUUUGCUCCCAGCUACUUCAUAAUGGGUGAAUAGGCUUCCCACUUCUGAGUCUAUGUUUUACAAAAAGAACUAGGUCUCAACAGAGUUUCUUGGAGUGUUUUUUAAAUAGGCUCCUUUCUAU